rnacentral:rRNA from 2 species
GGGUUGUGAGGUUAAGCGACUAAGCGUACACGGUGGAUGCCCUGGCAGUCAGAGGCGAUGAAGGGCGUGCUAAUCUGCGAUAAGCGCCGGUAAGGUGAUAUGAACCGUUAUAACCGGCGAUACCCGAAUGGGGAAACCCAGUGUGACUCGUCACACUAUCAUUAACUGAAUCCAUAGGUUAAUGAGGCGAACCGGGGGAACUGAAACAUCUAAGUACCCCGAGGAAAAGAAAUCAACCGAGAUUCCCCCAGUAGCGGCGAGCGAACGGGGAGGAGCCCAGAGCCUGAAUCAGCAUGUGUGUUAGUGGAAGCGUCUGGAAAGGCGCGCGAUACAGGGUGAUAGCCCCGUACACAAAAGCGCAUGUGUUGUGAGCUCGAUGAGUAGGGCGGGACACGUGGUAUCCUGUCUGAAUAUGGGGGGACCAUCCUCCAAGGCUAAAUACUCCUGACUGACCGAUAGUGAACCAGUACCGUGAGGGAAAGGCGAAAAGAACCCCGGCGAGGGGAGUGAAAAAGAACCUGAAACCGUGUACGUACAAGCAGUGGGAGCACA